AUUUCUUGUCCUUUAUUCCAGUGUAAAUAAGUCAACCUCCCCUGAAAUAGAUUUUUCCAUACUGCAUCACCAACUUCUCUAUCACUGAUUUGACCUCUCUUAUAGCUCUUCCAGCUGAGAGAGAGGGAAUACUCGAACUUGUGAGCUAUAUAUCGAAACCAAGUGGAUAGAGAAACCAUUUGCAACUACUGUAUCAAUGCUUGUAGCCCAGCAUUCCUUUUUCGUUAAAC
rnacentral:misc_RNA from 1 species